UUAUCUGUACUGUCCACACACUCGCUUCGUCCAUUUAUCUGAUCCAAGUGCUCUGAAAAACUGCCAACUGCACAAAGAAGAAGGGAUAAACACGUUCAGGGAAAUCUGGGACCGGAGAGGUGGGGAAAGGGGAAGAGAGAGGGAAGGAAGAACAAACUGGGAAACGUCCUCCCCUGUGGCUCACGGGCCUUAUGGUGUCAGGCAAACAUUACAGACAUGACCAGUUGGAGAAAGGGGACGUGGAAGAGAGGGAGAGGAAAGUGGCGUCCAUUCAGGUGUCACUCUACCUGUCCACGAGUCUGCUUAUUCUCAGCCCGUGACUCCCCUUACCUAGAAGACUCAUUCCUUUCUAGAAUCUCUAUCUUUCAACCCUUGUAGUGACAACUCCUCCCCCUCAUUCCCAACCCACGGAAGGCCAUGCUAUAAACCAGCACCACCUUAUCAACACCAUGACCGUCUGCUGUCUAAUAUGAUUAUCAUGUGAUAUUAGUGAUCAACCUUAGCAAUGCUCUUAAUAAUGUGGACAAUGCUGCUUUGUGGUAAGUGGACAUCACUUCAUGUCUUCGUGUAGACUUAUGCCUGUGUCACCUCGUACCAUCUUCCCAGAACACACCUUUACUAGGCCCACACUUAAACUGAUAGAAGAGUGUCGGAGGUGUCACCUUGGACUUCUCAUGCCAUAUGCCCCCUUAUGCUCUCCACUCUUUGCAAACCUCACAGGAUGACAAAGCCUAUUACCCCCUAUGUUACUCAGUGGCUCUCUACAUCCUCCUGGCUUUUCCUCUAGGCAGUGUGUCAUUGGCUCUGUCCUGAAGUUAUGAGACCCGUGGUAAGAUCCCUUCUCCUCUAAGGUUGCUGUGCCUUCUUUAUUUUUGUUUAUUAACCCUUAAGAGACACUGGAGGUGUUCUUUUUGUCUCCUUGUUUUUAGUUAAAAAAUUAGGACUCCCCUCAGGAGGGGAUCCCAAGGGAAUAUAAACAUGUAGGAGGCGACAAAACUGGAAAAUCACUGACGUCUGUCUGGGCAACGGCACACAAAGAGUAAAAGUUUCUGAGCAGAAGUCACAUGUGGAGUUCCCGCAGAGAACAGAAAAAGCAAUGUUUAUCUCAUUUCGACUUCUAAAUGCUGUGUUACAAGGCCUCCCCCACCCCGUGCUUUAAAAACCGUCAAGACGAUCAUCACCUUAAGGUUUGCAAUCCAUGCAGAGAAUCUGAUACAAAUGACCAUUACAAAUGACCCUUUGAAAGCCCAGUCGACAGGUUUUAAAGGACAUGACACUCUUGGCCGGGGAAAGGGUUAGACUGGAUAAGACUUAGCUCACAUCGCUGUUCUGCUGCUGACCGUACCACUCAAUGGCAUAGCUCGAGUUUGGCCUUUGUGUACAGAAGGGGCACCCGCCCUAGAGGUGGGGUCCUCGCUAAGGGAAGCUGGGAUCUGGCAGAGUGCUGUGGGUGCAGAAAAAGAUUCAGACAUCCAUGUGACAUCCACGUGAACUACAGAGGAGGACAAUCCUAAGGGAGGUAUCAGCAGCCCUCCUGCUCCCAUCCGCUCAACACAUCUACUCUGCGCUCUCUAAAUAAAGGAAUCAACAGCUCAAGGACUUGAUGAAUACCGUGUCACGAAUGAAACACCUCAUCUCAAAAUCCGUAAGCUUCCUUUCGGAUGCAUGGAGAUCACCUGGGAAUCUCACAGAAUAAGUAUCUUGCUGUGCUAAGAGUCUAGUGUGGAUAUAUGGAAGUUAUCUGGCACAACAUGGCCCCAUGACCAAAACCAACUCUUUCCAAGAAACCACCACCCACUGCAACACCGGAAGGAAAGCUGCCUUUAUAGUGUAACUUCUGGGUGACUGAAGCCAUGUUUGAGGGUAAUUUUGAACAUGUCACUGUCUGAUACAGUUCCUGAUUCCCAACUUUGACUUACACACCACUGUGCGAGACCUGCUUUUGCAUCAACAAUAGAAAACACAACAUGGUCCUAGGGUGUUCUGACUGCCAUCCGAGAACCCCAUUGAAGCCCAGCUGUGAAAGCGAAGGCUGGCUCUUGGGCCAAACUGAAGUGAGGAGGGUUCACUCUCUGGCCAUGUGGUCGGGAGGGGUGACCUCAGUUCAUAAGAGCCGAUGCCCCCGAGUCCUAGACUUGGGGCCUAGGAGGGAGCAGAGUGGCACAGAACAGCCAUCAUCACCGCCUAGGGAAGUCGCCUGGGAUUCCAACCCUAGCCCUGACCCCUCCAGCUGGUGGAUACUGGGUGGACGGCAGGCAGCACGCCCAGGUGCUUACCCGACAG